rnacentral:tRNA from 1 species
UGCAAUAUGGUGUAAAGGCACAUGAAGUUUUGAUUUUCAGGGGAUUGGUGUGAUUCCAUUUUUUGCAG